rnacentral:misc_RNA from 1 species
AACGCACAUUGCGCCCACUGGUAUUCCGGUGGGCAUGCCUGUUCGAGCGUCAUUAUCCUCUCUCUCACCCCCGUGGUGUGAUUUUGGGUCGCAUCUUUUCUUCGGAAAGGAUUGACCUCAAAGAUAAUGGCGGUGUCGUAGGACCCUCUUGAUGCAACGAGCUUUCGAGCACGCACCAAAGGGACUUUCAACAUCGGUCUAUAACUUUUAUUUCUAAGGUUGACCUCGGAUCAGGUAGGAAUACCCGCUGAACUUAA